UUCAAAAUUAAUCCCUCUUCCUUCAAAUCAGCCAUCUACCCAUCCUUCUAGACUUUGGGAAAAUUUCAUUUUUGCAAGCAAGAGGGAAAGAGUUCAAGAGAGGAAAUUCAUGGUGGUGUUUUGUUUGGUUGCUAGGUUCAAGGUUUGAAGUGGAAUCUCAAGUGGGAAGCUUAUUCUAGUAAGAGUUUAUUUCAAACAAGGUUAAUUAUGGAUGCCCUUAUGGUUGAGCGUGAAGUUGGUUGAGGUUUGAAAUGCAAAAGUGAGACGAGCCUAUGCCAUUUUAAAGGAUUAAAGAUGUACAAGUUAUUAUACAACAUGAUGGUUCGUAAUGAAGAAGCAGAAGUCGCUGGAAGUUUCGCAUCAAUUGUGUUAGUGUUAUUUCAGAGGUAUAAGACGAGCAUUUUCUAUAUAUUAUU